rnacentral:rRNA from 1 species
UUAUGACCUGGGCUACACACGUGCUACAAUGGCUGGUACAACGAGUCGCGAGUCGGUGACGGCAAGCUAAUCUCUUAAAGCCAGUCUCAGUUCGGAUUGUAGGCUGCAACUCGCCUACAUGAAGUCGGAAUCGCUAGUAAUCGCGGAUCAGCACGCCGCGGUGAAUACGUUCCCGGGCCUUGUACACACCGCCCGUCACACCACGAGAGUUUGUAACACCCGAAGUCGGUGAGGUAACCGUAAGGAGCCAGCCGCCUAAGGUGGGAUAGAUGAUUGGGGUGAAGUCGUACAGGGUAACCGUACA